rnacentral:tRNA from 1 species
ACCUGGCCGGCUCAGUCAACGGAGCAUGUGACUCUUGAUCACUGGGUGUGAGUUCGAGCCCCACGCUGGGCA